UCCGGUUUGACACCGGCAGUCCCGCUAGAGUCCCCAGCAUUACCUGUUGGCAACUAGCGGCAGGGGUUUCGCUCGUUAAGGGACUUAACCCGACAUCUCACGACACGAGCUGACGACAGCCAUGCAGCACCUGUGCACGUUCCACCCAGAGGGUGUUACUGCCCUUUCAGGCAGCUAAUCCGUGCAUGUCAAGCCCAGGAUAAGGUUCUUCGCGUUGCCUCGAAUUAAGCCACAUGCUCCACCGCUUGUGUGAGCCCCCGUCAAUUCCUUUGAGUUUUAGCCUUGCGACCGUACUCCCCAGGCGGUACACUUAUCACUUUUGCUUCGACCAUGAAAGUGUCAGAACCUCCACGAUCUAGUGUACAUCGUUUAGGGCGUGGACUA
rnacentral:misc_RNA from 1 species